rnacentral:rRNA from 1 species
UGGCGACCGGCGCACGGGUGCGUAACACGUAUACAAUCUACCUUAAACAGGGGGAUAGCCUUUCGAAAGAGAGAUUAAUACCCGUAAUAAAUUGAACGGUCAUCGUUUUGAUUUUGAAAGCUCCGGCGGUUUGAGAUGAGUAUGCGUCUGAUUAGCUAGUUGGUGAGGUAACGGCUCACCAAGGCGACGAUCAGUAGGGGACCUGAGAGGACUUAACCCCCACACUGGUACUGAGACACGGACCAGACUCCUACGGGAGGCAGCAGUAAGGAAUAUUGGUCAAUGGAGGCAACUCUGAACCAGCCAUGCCGCGUGCAGGAUGACGGCCCUAUGGGUUGUAAACUGCUUUUAUACAAGAGAAAACCCUGGUACGUGUACCAAGUUGAUAGUAUUGUAAGAAUAAGCAUCGGCUAACUUCGUG